rnacentral:tRNA from 1 species
GGGCGCGUAGCUUAGCUUGGAUAAGCCCUUGGGGAAAAAGAGAAAAAAAUAAAAUUAUCUCUAAAAAGAGAGAAGGCUGACAAAAAGAGCGUCUGGCUCAAAACCAGAAGGUCGGGGGUUCAAAUCCCUCCGCGCCCG